UGCCCCUGGCAGCAUUAAUGGAGUUCCACUCUUGGAAGUAGAUUUGGAUUCUUUUGAAGAUAAACCAUGGCGGAAACCUGGUGCUGAUCUUUCCGAUUAUUUUAAUUAUGGCUUUAAUGAAGAUACUUGGAAAGCUUACUGUGAAAAACAAAAGAGGAUCCGAAUGGGACUGGAAGUUAUACCCGUUACUUCAACGACAAACAAGAUUACGGUACAGCAAGGGAGAACUGGAAAUUCAGAGAAAGAAGCAGCACUUCCAUCUACAAAAGCUGAGUUUACUUCUCCGCCAUCAUUGUUCAAGACUGGUCUGCCACCAAGCAGAAACAGCACCUCUUCUCAGUCUCAGACAAGUACUGCCUCCAGAAAAGCCAGUUCAAGCGUUGGGAAGUGGCAGGAUCGAUAUGGGAGGGCCGAGUCACCUGAUCUAAGGAGAUUACCUGGAGCAAUCGAUGUCAUUGGUCAAACAAUAACCAUCAGCCGAGUAGAAGGAAGACGGCGUGCAAAUGAGAACAGCAAUAUACAGGUUCUUUCUGACAGAUCUGCCACUGAAGUAGACAACAAUUUCAGCAAACCACCUCCAUUUUUCCCUCCAGGGGCUCCUCCUACUCACCUUCCUCCUCCUCCAUUUCUUCCACCUCCUCCAACUGUCAGCACUGCUCCACCUUUGAUUCCACCACCAGGUUUCCCCCCUCCACCAGGCGCUCCACCUCCAUCUCUUAUACCGACAAUAGAAAG
rnacentral:lncRNA from 1 species